CAGGGGUUUGGAGGGCGGAGAGCAGGGGUUUGGAGGGCGGAGGGCAGGGGUUUGGGGGGAGUAGGGUAGGAGCUUGGAGGGAGGAGAGCAGGGGUUUGGAGGGAGGAGACCAGGGGUUUGGAGGGAGGAGAGCAGAGGUUUGUAGGAAGGAGAGCAGAGGUUUGGAGGGAGGAGAGCAGAGGUUUGUAGGAAGGAGAGCAGAGGUUUGGAGGGAGGAGACCAGGGGUUUGGAGGGAGGAGAGCAGAGGUUUGGAGGGAGGAGAGCAGAGGUUUGGAGGGAGGAGAGCAGGGGUUUGGAGGGAGGAGAGCAGAGGUUUGGAGGGAGGAGAGCAGAGGUUUGGAGGGAGGAGAGCAGAG
ensembl:lncRNA